rnacentral:rRNA from 1 species
GAUGAACGCUGGCGGCGUGCCUAAUACAUGCAAGUCGAGCGAACAGACGAGGAGCUUGCUCCUCUGACGUUAGCGGCGGACGGGUGAGUAACACGUGGAUAACCUACCUAUAAGACUGGGAUAACUUCGGGAAACCGGCGCUAAUACCGGAUAAUAUAUUGAACCGCAUGGUUCAAUAGUGAAAGACGGUUUUGCUGUCACUUAUAGAUGGAUCCGCGCCGCAUUAGCUAGUUGGUAAGGUAACGGCUUACCAAGGCAACGAUGCGUAGCCGACCUGAGAGGGUGAUCGGCCACACUGGAACUGAGACACGGUCCAGACUCCUACGGGAGGCAGCAGUAGGGAGUCUAUCGCAAUGGGCGAGAGCCUGACGGAGCGACGCCGCGUGAGGGAUGAAGGCCUUCGGAUCGUAAAACUCUGUUAUGAGGAGAGAACGAAUGUGUAAGUAGCUAGGAGCGUCUUGACGGUACCUAAUCAGAAAGCCACGGCUAACUACGUG